rnacentral:lncRNA from 1 species
CCAGUGUCACACUCAGGGAUUGGUGACUGAGAAAGGCAUAACGAGAAGAUGAAUGUGCUUCAACCUUCGAAGUGUCUCCAGUUCCUGGCUUUGUUCUUUCCCUCAGGCUGAACGAGGACUCAGAUCCAUUACCUUUGUGCUCUGGUGCUGCUGCUUUGUUGUCUAUGCAGGUGUAGUGGCCCCUGAGGAGGCACAGCUGUGACCUGGGCUCCAAUGACACCUAAAGGUGCCAUUUCAAUCAUUGACCUAAUCAUGUGCUGAACACUGGGAUUCCCAGACCUGUGCUCUGAAGUGAUAAGGUGAGCUGCAGUGAUGGGAAUGGUUAGUGAGAUUGAAAAUAGAAAAGAAAAAAAAU